rnacentral:SRP_RNA from 1 species
GGUGGGUCGCCUCGCAUGUCUAACCCGUGAAUCUGGUCAGGUCCGGAAGGAAGCAGCCACAGCAGGCCAAGCAGUGCCGGGGGAACGGCUCACCACU